rnacentral:rRNA from 1 species
AUGGCCUUGAACGAUGGCCUCGCCAGGUUCAAGCUGCAGCAGGAGAGGAACCAAGCGGCUCUAUCCGCCAUCGCCGCAGCAAAAACUUCUUCAUCAUCAUCAUCCACCAGGCCGUCGCCGUCCCAGCAGCAACCCGGUGCAGCUCCAACUCCAAGGCCGGCGGCUAAACCAUCGCCGCCAGUGCCUGCCGUCAGAAUCUCCGAUGACACGGCGCGGCUAAAAGAGACCAACACCGCGAGGAAGUUGGCCGCCGGAGCACAGAUCAGAUUCUCCGAUGACACAGCACGCCUACAGAAGAUCAAUGAAGUUAGGAGGUCCCCCGUCGGAAAACAGAUCAGAGAUGUCAUCGCGCUGCUCGAGAGGACGAGGGAAGCUCUCACGGCGCACCAGAUAAACGAGAAAACCUACGUCGACAUCGAUGGCGCCAUCGCCGAGCGCCUGAGGAACAACCCCAAGGUGCGCUUUGACGGGGAGCGCUACUCGUACAAGCGCACGCACGACGUCAGGGGCAAAGACGAGCUGCUCUCGCUCGUCGGAAGCUUCCCCGACGGCCUCCCGGCGUCGGAGGUGGAGGACGCGUAUCCAUCCGUGCUGGAAGACCUGCAGGCCCUGAAAUCUUCAGGCGACAUCUUUUUGCUGCCGGUCGAGAGAGACAUGAUUGCCUACCCGGAUGACCCGAGGUCGAGGAUGGAGGUGGACGCCGAGCUCAAGAAGAUGUUCCACGACAUCAAGCUGCCGGUAAACAUGGUGGACGUCGAGAAGGAGCUCCGGAAGAACGGCGAGAAGCCGGCCACCGACACGGCCAAGAGGCGUGCCGCUGAGCAGAUCCAUGGCCGGCAACCGGAGCCGGAGAAGGCCAGGAAGAAGCCGCGCGGGAUCACCAGCAGGACCAAGCUCACCAACGCUCAUCUCCCGGGACUCUUCGACCUGCCUGUAGAUAAUAAGGACUCGAAAGAUUUCAUCUGA